UACGUAGGGUGCAAGCGUUAAUCGGGAUUACUGGGCGUAAAGCGUGCGCAGGCGGCUAUGCAAGACAGAUGUGAAGUCCCCGGGCUCAACCUGGGAACUGCAUUUGUGACUGCAUGGCUAGAGUACGGUAGAGGGGGAUGGAAUUCCGCGUGUAGCAGUGAAAUGCGUAGAUAUGCGGAGGAACACCGAUGGCGAAGGCAAUCCCCUGGACCUGUACUGACGCUCAUGCACGAAAGCGUGGGGAGCAAACAGG
rnacentral:rRNA from 1 species